CAAUUUUAAUCUAACAGCUUUUCUUAAUAGUUUAACGUUGUAUCAUAGCUUUUUUGGUGACUGCUCUAUACUGAAAGUAACUCUCUGGAACGGAUUGAAGGUUGGCAGCCAGUAAAACUAAUGUUUUCCAAAUAGAGGCCAGUAUCCAUGUAAAAAGGUGUAUCCUAUGAAUGGAGUGACUGAAGCAGUGUUGGUCAGAAAAUGUUUCGUGGUACUCUUGAGAUUCAGUUCCAACGCUGGCUCAAAGAGUGCAAAAAUCUACAAUAUUGCAUCUCUUGAACUUCUAGAGGUCAUCAAGAGAAGUUCUCUUCUUGAAUCUUUUCCAGAGAAAGCUUUCUGGAUAAGAUAAUCUCAAGUACUUACCAAAUGAACUUUUUAUUAAAAAUCUUCUCAAAGUUGGAUUUUUUGUUUUUGCUUUGCCUAAUUGCAACCCGAAUAUGGAUGAUUGUCCCUUGAGAAUUCACAGUUUGGUGCAAGAAAGACAAGGGAAGCGUAUUGUCCCUUUAUAUGAUACAAAAUAUAUUCAUUCGCCAUGGCACCAUGAACUUAUUGUGGUGGAUAAGAGGAAUAAGAAGCCUGAAAAUCUGCAAUGGCUUGACAGCAAUGUAAGCACCGGAUUUGAGACAGUUUCUUCGUCCAAAGAAAAUUAAUAUGUUCAUCUCCUCUUCUUCUUUGAUUAUAUACAGGCUUGUGGGUGGAGAGUGUCGUGACUUGUGAGGUCUUGUUAACUAAUAACAGCAAUUGAAUAAAGAAGAAAAUCUCAGCUUUUGGGAUUUGUGUGCAUAAAGUGCAGUGUUGAAAAAGAUGUAAGAGAAAGGUGUACACGGGGUUUGGGGUUUGGGUUUGGAUUUGGGUUUGGGUAUAACGGGAGUGUUUUAGAUUUCUACUAUCAUUCUUUAUUUUAGUCAUUUGACUCACAUCCGUGGAUGUAGGCAAAGUUUUGCCGAACCACAUAAAUUUGGUGUUGUGUGACUUUCUUUAUGCCUUCUUUUUUUU